rnacentral:tRNA from 1 species
UGUCAAGGGAUGGGAAUCGAACCCACGACCUUCCGCUUACCGGGCAGAUGGCAUGACCACUAGGCUACCCUGGAC